rnacentral:rRNA from 1 species
UACGUAGGGUGCAAGCGUUGUCCGGAAUUACUGGGCGGAAAGCGCACGUAGGCGGCUUUCUAAGUCGGGGGUGAAAUCCUGGAGCUCAACUCCAGAACUGCCUUCGAUACUGGAGAGCUUGAGUCCGGGAGAGGUGAGUGGAACUGCGAGUGUAGAGGUGAAAUUCGUAGAUAUUCGCAUGAACACCAGUGGCGAAGGCGGCUCACUGGCCCGGUACUGACGCUGAGGUGCGAAAGCGUGGGGAGCAAACAGG